CUUAACACAUGCAAGUCGAACGAUGAAGCCCAGCUUGCUGGGUGGAUUAGUGGCGAACGGGUGAGUAACACGUGAGUAACCUGCCCCCGACUCUGGGAUAAGCCCGGGAAACUGGGUCUAAUACCGGAUAUGACCUCGCACCGCAUGGUGCGGGGUGGAAAGAUUUAUCGGUGGGGGAUGGACUCGCGGCCUAUCAGCUUGUUGGUGAGGUAAUGGCUCACCAAGGCGACGACGGGUAGCCGGCCUGAGAGGGUGACCGGCCACACUGGGACUGAGACACGGCCCAGACUCCUACGGGAGGCAGCAGUGGGGAAUAUUGCACAAUGGGCGAAAGCCUGAUGCAGCGACGCCGCGUGAGGGAUGACGGCCUUCGGGUUGUAAACCUCUUUCAGUAGGGAAGAAGCGAAAGUGACGGUACCUGCAGAAGAAGCGCCGGCUAACUACGUGCCAGCAGCCGCGGUAAUACGUAGGGCGCAAGCGUUAUCCGGAUUUAUUGGGCGUAAAGAGCUCGUAGGCGGUUUGUCGCGUCUGCCGUGAAAGUCCGAGGCUCAACCUCGGAUCUGCGGUGGGUACGGGCAGACUAGAGUGAUGUAGGGGAGACUGGAAUUCCUGGUGUAGCGGUGAAAUGCGCAGAUAUCAGGAGGAACACCGAUGGCGAAGGCAGGUCUCUGGGCAUUUACUGACGCUGAGGAGCGAAAGCAUGGGGAGCGAACAGGAUUAGAUACCCUGGUAGUCCAUGCCGUAAACGUUGGGCACUAGGUGUGGGGGACAUUCCACGUUUUCCGCGCCGUAGCUAACGCAUUAAGUGCCCCGCCUGGGGAGUACGGCCGCAGGCUAAACUCAAGAAUUGACGGGGGCCCGCACAAGCGCGAGCAUGCGAUAUUCGAUGCAACGCGAGACUACAAGCUUGACAUGUGCAGAUCGCUCAGAGAUGGGUUCCCUCGGGCCUGUUCACAGUGGGCAUGGUUCGUCAGCCGUCCUGAAUGUUGUAAGUCGCACGAGCCCACCCUCGUUCAUGU
rnacentral:rRNA from 1 species